AAAAAUAAUAAAUAAAAAGGAAAGCAUGAUGAGAAAAAGGAUUUAGAAAGGGAGAAAAGAAAAUAAAAAUGAGUGAGGGGCUGGAAGAAAAGAAAAGGAAAAUAGGAGUGAAGAAGAAUAGAGAAGAUGGGUGAUGGAGAAAGGGAAAAAACCUGAUUAUGUGCUUAAGAAAAACCCUAAUAACAGUGUUUUUGUCCCCGGUGUAGAAGAUUGUCUAUGACUUACCUAAAGCAACAUCAAUUGUUUUCUUUUAUUAUUUAAAUUAGAUUUGGUGUGCGUGAGAUAUGGUAAAUAUCACUUACGUGGUUGAAUCAAUUGUGGUGAGUAUGUAUUUAACAAAAGCACUAGUCAAGUCAUUAUUACAUGUAUCCUAUGAUUUGUGUUCUGAAUCCUAGUAGAGAAAAAUCUUUUACGAUUUUUACAUUGCUAACUUUUCUUUUUCUUCCCCACCCCCCUUUUUGUGUGUUUAAUUGUAAUAGACAUCUAGAAAUGACAAUGAUUAAUGAUUUCAUAUCUCUAGUCCUCAGCCUUUCCUUCUAUUUUUGUUUUAAAGAAACAUUAAUGAGAUUAUGUUAUAUAGGUCUGGGAACUUGACCCUAAAU
rnacentral:misc_RNA from 1 species